CUCGUUCCUAUCGCCCCCACCCCUACCCACGCAGGUACCCAGCCUCACCUCCAAGGCUCCAACGAAGGGAACGCCGACGGGGAAGGAGCAUGAUAGAUCCGGCACAGGUAUGUGUGCGGCCAGAUCUGGAGGGGGGGGGGGGCAGGUGUGUCUUCAUUGGUCUGGAUUUGGACAAUUAGCUGAUUACCUUUUGAUUGCUGUGUUAUAUCUAGCAUGAUGCUAUAACAAAUGUGUUUUAGCUUUUGCUUCUGCUGUAUAGUUAUGGCAUAUCCUAGUCAGAUACAGUAUAAUUUAUGUUAAUGUGUUUUCCUUCAUUAUUUGGAAACACUGGGGUUGUUUCUCAUGCAAAUGUGUUUAUGUGAUUAUUCUCAGACUGCUAAUAGGCACUCCAAAAGGAGAUGGAGCUUAAUUCCAAUCGCAAGAGUGCUCUACAACAUACGUCGACAAGAGAGAUGGCUCAGUGAUUAAACAAUGUGGCUGGUUAACCGCAUCCGUACAUGAAGAUGCAAUCUGUUCUUUGUGUUCUUAAGCAGCUUUGGGAGGAGGAAUUAGCAAGGAUGAGCAGCAGUGGCAAUAUGCUUGCGUGAGUGAGAUGCCAUGUGGUUUUGUAAGUGAGCACUAGGCAUGUCUGAUGUAAAAAGGGUGUUGAUUAAAGAGAC
rnacentral:lncRNA from 1 species